CGUGUAGGCGGUUUAGUAAGCCUGGUGUUAAAACUGCAGGCUCAACCUGCAGGUAGCGCUGGGAACUGCUAAGCUAGAGUCCAGGAGGGGAAGUUGGAAUUCCAGGUGUAGGGGUGAAAUCUGUAGAUAUCUGGAAGAACACCGGUGGCGAAGGCGAACUUCUAGCCAUGGACUGACGCUGAGGCGCGAAAGCGUGGGGAGCGAACA
rnacentral:rRNA from 1 species